rnacentral:rRNA from 1 species
GACGAACGCUGGCGGCGUGCCUAAUACAUGCAAGUCGAGCGAGGCUCUUCGGAGUCUAGCGGCGGACGGGUGAGUAACACGUGGGCAACCUGCCUGUAAGACUGGGAUAACACCGGGAAACCGGUGCUAAUACCGGAUAAUCCUUUUCCUCUCAUGAGGAAAAGCUGAAAGUCGGUUUCGGCUGACACUUACAGAUGGGCCCGCGGCGCAUUAGCUAGUUGGUGAGGUAACGGCUCACCAAGGCGACGAUGCGUAGCCGACCUGAGAGGGUGAUCGGCCACACUGGGACUGAGACACGGCCCAGACUCCUACGGGAGGCAGCAGUAGGGAAUCUUCCACAAUGGACGAAAGUCUGAUGGAGCAACGCCGCGUGAGCGAUGAAGGCCUUCGGGUCGUAAAGCUCUGUUGUUAGGGAAGAACAAGUACCGGAGUAACUGCCGGUACCUUGACGGUACCUAACCAGAAAGCCACGGCUAAUUACGUGCCAGCCGCCGCAGUAAAAC